GGGCCUGUAGCUCAGUCAGGUAGAGCGUCGGACUUUUAAUCCGAUGGUCGCGGGUUCGAACCCCGUCAGGCCCG
rnacentral:tRNA from 7 species